rnacentral:rRNA from 1 species
AUACGUAGGGUGCAAGCGUUAAUCGGAAUUACUGGGCGUAAAGCGUGCGCAGGCGGUUUUGUAAGACAGAGGUGAAAUCCCCGGGCUCAACCUGGGAACUGCCUUUGUGACUGCAAGGCGAGAGUACGGCAGAGGGGGAUGGAAUUCCGCGUGUAGCAGGGAAAUGCGUGGAUAUGCGGAGGAACACCGAUGGCGAAGGCAAUGCCAUGGGCCUGUAGUGACUCUCGUGCACGAAAGCGUGGUGAGCAAUCACGAUUAGAUACCCAGGUAGGGCGCUCCCUAACCGAUGUCAACUGGUGGUUGGAUCUUCAGUGACUCAGCAACGAAGCUAAAGUAUUUAGUUGACCGCCUGGGGAGUACGGCCGCAAGGUUGAAGCUGAAAUGAAUUGACGGGU